rnacentral:rRNA from 1 species
AGUGAACGCUGGCGGUAGGCCUAACACAUGCAAGUCGAACGGCAGCACAGUAAGAGCUUGCUCUUACGGGUGGCGAGUGGCGGACGGGUGAGGAAUACAUCGGAAUCUACUUUUUCGUGGGGGAUAACGUAGGGAGACUUACGCUAAUACCGCAUACGACCUACGGGUGAAAGCAGGGGAUCUUCGGACCUUGCGCGAUUGAAUGAGCCGAUGUCGGAUUAGCUAGUUGGCGGGGUAAAGGCCCACCAAGGCGACGAUCCGUAGCUGGUCUGAGAGGAUGAACGGCCACACUGGAACUGAGAGAGGGCCCAGACCCCUAGGGAGGGCGGCAGGGGGAAAUGUGGAACAGGGGGCGAAAGCUGGCUCCACCCAUCCGGGGUGGGGAAAGAAGCCCUUGGGGUUGUAAGCCCUUUUUGUGGGAAAAAAAAAGAAGCAGUUAAAUCCCCCCUUUUUCGGAGGUUACCAAAAAAAAAAGCCCGGGCUACCUUCGUC